rnacentral:rRNA from 1 species
GACGAACGCUGGCGGCGUGCUUAACACAUGCAAGUCGAACGAAGUGGCGAACGGGUGAGUAACGCGUAAUCAACCUGCCCUUCAGCGGGGUACAACAGUUGGAAACGACUGCUCAUACCGCAUACUGAAGGAGGUGAUUGCGUCUGAUUAGCUAGUUGGAGGGGUAACGGCCCACCAAGGCGAUGAUCAGUAUCCGGGCGGAGAGGAAGAACGGGCAAAUGUGGAAUGGGAAACGGGCCAGACUCCUUCGGGAGGGAGCAGUGGGGAAACUUGCGAAAUUGACGAAAGUCUGACGGAGCAACGGCGCCGGAGUGAUGACGGCCUUCGGGUUGUAAAGCUCUGUUAAUCGGGAAGCGGUACCGGAAUAGAAAGCCACGGCUAACUACGUGCCAGCAGCCGCGGUAAUUC